CACACACACUGACAGACACACUCACUCACACACAAACUCACAUAGUCACAUAGUCACACACACACUGACAGACACACAUACUCACACACACACUGACAGACACACUCACUCACACACACACUGACAGACUCACUCACUCACACACACACUGACAGACAUACUCACUCACACACACACUCACUCACACAUACACAAACUCAGUCACAUAGUCACACACACACUGACAGACACACAUACUCACACACACACUGACAGACACACUCACUCACACACACACACUGACAGACACUCACUCACACACACACACACACACACUGACAGACACACUCACUCACACACACACUGACAGACAUACUCACUCACACACACACACACACACAAACUCACAGUCACAUAGUCACACACACACUGACAGACACACAUACUC